GACGAACGCUGGCGGCGUGCUUAACACAUGCAAGUCGAACGGAAAGGCCCUGCUUGCAGGGUACUCGAGUGGCGAACGGGUGAGUAACACGUGGGUGAUCUGCCCCGCACUUCGGGAUAAGCCUGGGAAACUGGGUCUAAUACCGGAUAGGAGCCAUCUUUAGUGGGAUGGUUGGAAAGUUUUUUUCGGUGUAGGAUGAGCUCGCGGCCUAUCAGCUUGUUGGUGGGGGAAUGGCCUACCAAGGCGGCGACGGGGAGCCGGCCUGAGGGGGGGGAAGGCCAUAGUGGGACUGAGAUACGGCCCAGACUCCUACGGGGGGCCGGAGGGGGGAAUAUUGCACAAUGGGCGCGAGCCUGAUGCAGCGACGCCGCGGGGGGGAUGGCGGCCUUCGGGUUGUAAACUCUUUUCGCUAGGGACGAAGCUUUUUGUGACGGUACCUGGAUAAGAAGCACCGGCUAACUACGUG
rnacentral:rRNA from 1 species